rnacentral:rRNA from 1 species
CCUACGGGAGGCAGCAGUGAGGAAUAUUGGUCAAUGGACGCAAGUCUGAACCAGCCAUGCCGCGUGCAGGAAGACGGCUCUAUGAGUUGUAAACUGCUUUUGUACGAGGGUAAACGCAGAUACGCGUAUCUGUCUGAAAGUAUCGUACGAAUAAGGAUCGGCUAACUCCGUGCCAGCAGCCGCGGUAAUAAGGAGGAUUCAAGCGUUAUCCGGAUUUAUUGGGGUUAAAGGGUGCGUAGGCGGGCGGAUAAGUUAGAGGUGAAAUCCCGAGGCUCAACUUCGGAAUGGCCUCUGAUACUGGUAGGCUAGAGAGUAGUUGCGGUAGGCGGAAUGUAUGGUGUAGCGGUGAAAUGCUUAGAGAUCAUACAGAACACCGAUUGCGAAGGCAGCUUACCAAGCUACUUCUGACGUUGAGGCACGAAAGCGUGGGGAGCAAACAGGAUUAGAUACCCCUGUAGUC